AACGAACGCUGGCGGCAUGCCUAACACAUGCAAGUCGAACGAGACCUUCGGGUCUAGUGGCGCACGGGUGCGUAACGCGUGGGAACCUGCCCUUAGGUUCGGAAUAACUCCCCGAAAGGGGUGCUAAUACCGGAUAAUGUCUUCGGACCAAAGAUUUAUCGCCUUUGGAUGGGCCCGCGUUGGAUUAGCUAGUUGGUAGGGUAAAAGCCUACCAAGGCGACGAUCCAUAGCUGGUCUGAGAGGAUGAUCAGCCACACUGGGACUGAGACACGGCCCAGACUCCUACGGGAGGCAGCAGUGGGGAAUAUUGGAAAAUGGGCGAAAGCAUGAUCCAGCAAUGCCGCGUGAGUGAUGAAGGCAUUAGGGUUGUAAAGCUCUUUUACCCGGGAUGAUAAUGACAGUACCGGGAGAAUAAGCUCCGGCUAACUCCGUG
rnacentral:rRNA from 1 species